GCACGAGUGGCGAAACUGGUAGACGCAGCGGACUUAAAAUCUGCAGGCCGGAAGGCCGUACGGGUUCAAGCCCCGUCUCGUGCA
rnacentral:tRNA from 1 species